AAGAAAGAGAAGCAUAAAAAAAAUGACAAAUUUGUUACUUAAAGCACAUAGAUUUUUAUUUUUUUUUAUUUUUGUAUUUUAAACAGAUUUUAAAAUUGUUAUUUGAACAUCAUACAUACGCGUACGUAUAAUACGUGUUUAUAUACAUACACAUAUAAGUAUAUAUAUAUAUGACAUAUACAGUGCCUUUAUUUAUUUUUUCUUAUAAGUACGGGUAAAUAUUAAAAGAUUACAUAAUUAUUUGCUAUAUUUUUACGUUGUGCUUCACGUAUACAGUAUACAUACACGUCAGAUCCGUACAUACGUACAUACAUAUAUAGAUUAUACAUAUAUACGUUGAUUUAACUAUUACAAAAAUGAUUAACACAAACAAAACUGCCGUAGCAUCCCACGAAAACAAGAACAAUAACAACAGUUCUUACAGUACUAAAACCUUAUGGGUAGGUGAAUUAGAUAAAAUAAAAGAAGUAGUGGAUGAAAACUAUAUUUUGUAUUGUAUGUUUUAUGAAUUUGCUAAUGAUAUAAUUAAAAUAAAAUUAUGUAAAGAAAAGAAUACUCAAAAAAGUUCUUACGCUUUUAUUGAAUUUACAAAUUAUGACAUAGCCAAAUAUUGUUUUGAUCAAUUAAAUGGAAAGUGGAUACCUGGUAAAAUUCACAAGUUUAAAUUAAACUGGGCAAAAUAUAAUAUGUCUGAUAAUGUUAACAGUAAUGAUAAAAAUUUGGAUGUCGAAUUAGAUGAUAAAGGAACCUAUUCUAUUUAUGUAGGUAACUUACCAAAAAAUACAGCUAAAGAAGAAAUAGAAAAUUUAUUUACAAAUUUUUAUAAUAGUAUUUGUUUUGUUAAAAUGAUAAAAAAUACACAAAAAAAUCAAAAUAAAAUUUAUUGUUUUAUUCAUUUUUUUAAUUACGAUGAAUGUAUUAAAGCAUUGACACAAAUGGAUGGUUAUAUUUUUAAAGGAAAUAAAAUUAAAGUAAGUAAAUCAAAUGGUAUAAAAGUAAUGAAUUCAGAUGCAAAUAAUUAUUAUAACACAAAUAAAAAUUAUGAUAACUAUUCUAAUAGUAUAAAAAUUAUGAAUAUAAAUAAUUAUAAUCAUAAUGCAUAUACACAAAGAAACUACACAACACAUGGAUAUACCCCUAAUAGUUAUAACCCAAAUAGUUAUAACCCAAAUAGCUAUAGUCCAAAUAAUUAUAAUCAUAACAGUUAUAAUCCUAAUAGUUAUAACCUUAAUGGAUAUAAUCCUAACGGUUAUAACCCAAAUGGAUACAAUCCCAAUGGAUAUAGCCCAAAUGGAUAUAAUCCUAACGAAUAUAAUUCUAAUGGUUAUGGUAUAAAUAUGUAUAAUCAAAAUAGAUACAAUGUAAAUAAUAAUACUAACACUAAUGCAAACACAAAUACUGCUACUAAUGGUACAAAUUCAAAUGGUACAAAUGGAAGUGCAAGUACAAAUGGCAUUAGUAAUACUAAUAAUAAUAAUAAUGUUGGUUUAAAAAAUUUAACGGAUAAUGAAGAAGAAAAUGGUAAUGUCAGUGUUAAUGAUGUUAAUAAAAAUAUAUAUUAUUAUUAUAAUAAUGUAAACACAGAUAUGAAUAACCCUUAUGAUAUAAAUUAUUAUGAUUCUCUAAAUUCAAAUGUAAGUUCAUACCCAACAUUUAAUGCUACAGCUCCUGCAACAACUACUACUACUAAUAUGCCAUAUAAUACUAAUAAUUUUUCAAAUUCAUUAAAUCAGUUAAAUUAUUACACUACUACCCCUCUGGCACAAAUGAGUAAUAAUUUUCAAAAUAAAGUAGGUACUCGUAGUAGUUACAGUGGAAACAUGAGUAUAAUGAACAGUUACGUGUGUACUAGUAAUAACAGCAUUGGUAAUGGUAAUAUUAAUAUUGAUAGUGGUAGUAUUAGUGCCGAGAAUGGUAGUAUUAGUGUUGUUAAUGAUUCUAGUGGUAAUGGAAAUAGUAACAAGGAAAAUAAUAAAUAUAAUAACGGUGACAUGUAUUAUUCAAAUAAUUAUGUUAAUUCAGAAAAGGAAACAGAAUAUAUUAAUAGUAACUACCAUAAAACAAAAGAUAUAAAUAGUGCUGAGGGGGAAAAUAACACAAAUGGAUAUAUAGAUUGUAACGGAGAUGGAAACGUGCUUGAAGAACAAGAUAAUAAUAUUGACAUUAAUUAUAGAAAUAAUAAUUUACAUAUACCUAAAGAUGAAAAUGUUAAUAGUACAUCUAGUACUACUACUACUACAACAAUUAGUAGAGGUAGUAGUAGUAAUGCUAAUGUUACUAGUAGUAAUAAUACAGAACGAGAUAAUGUAAACACAAAAGGUGUAAACAAAUUUAAUAAUUCAAAUGAUGCAGACUAUUACAAUUAUACACAUUCGAACAAUGAAUAUGGCACUGAUACUGUUACAACUGAAACUUAUAACAACAAUAACUCCAAUGAAAUGAACAACGAUGACAAUAAGAAUUGUUAUAAUGAUGGUAUAAGAAAUGAUAAUCCAAAUAACGACAUAAAUAACGGCAUAAAUAACGACAUAAAUAACGGCAUAAAUAACGACAUAAAUAACUAUGAUAUAGGUAAUAAAAAAGAAUCCUCAAAUGAUUAUUAUUAUGAAAAUAAUAAUGAUACUAAUAGUAAUAAUGGUAAAAAUAAAAACAUGUACCAUAAUAAUUUAAAUAUUAAAGCUAAGGAUAGUAGUACUACCUGUAAUGAUGUAACAAAUGAUAACAAUAAACACAGUGACCAAAUUGACAAUAACCUUACGGAUAAUAAUAAUAAUAAUAAUAAUACUAAUGAUAAAAACAUUAAUAGUGAUAACAAUAAAAAUAUUAAAAAUAAAAACAAUGAAAACUGAUCAUUUUUAAUGUUAAAGAGGAAUUCGGAAACAAUAACGCAUAGUAAGUGUAAUGUAUAGAUAUACAGUUGACGUUUAUACAAAC
ensembl:lncRNA